UUUACCACAGAUAUCACAGAGAAUGGCAGAGCGGUACUUGGUGCACCAGGAGGCUAUUAUUUUCAAGGUCAGAUCAUCACUGCAGCUCUUGCUAACAUCAUGAGCAGUGGCAGCACGUUCUCUCCCAUUCACUCAGUGAGGGGUGAAACCAAAACUACACAAAGACGUGACUACUACGACCUGUAUCUGGGU